GGGAGGUUUAGGUUUAGGAAAAGAUUUUACAUUCACAGGAUGGUUGGGCACUGGAACAGCUCCUCAGGGAAGUGGUCACAGCAUCAGCCUGACAGAGUUCAAGAAGCAUUUGCACAAUGCUCUUGGGCAAAUGGUGUGACUCAUGGGGAUGGUUCUGUGCAGGCUCCACAGCAAUCCCAUUACAAAAACCUGCAGAAUGUAGCAAGCCCUUGAUCAACAUGGAGUUAAAAAUGGCAGAAUAAACUAGCUUUAAUUGGG